rnacentral:rRNA from 1 species
CUACGGAGGGGACUAGCGUUGUUCGGAAUUACUGGGCGUAAAGAGUUCGUAGGCGGACUGAUAAGUAAGAGGUGAAAUCCCAGGGCUCAACCCUGGAACCGCCUUUUAAACUGUCAGUCUAGAGACCGGAAGAGGUUAGGGGAAUACCUAGUGUAGAGGUGAAAUUCGUAGAUAUUAGGUGGAACACCAGUGGCGAAGGCGCCUAACUGGUCCGGUACUGACGCUGAGGAACGAAAGCGUGGGGAGCAAACAGGAUUAGAAACCCUAGUAGUCC